GGGGCCGACUGGUUUUGACAGCAGGGAUAGUGGGAGAGCAAGCACGCCGAGGGUCGUGUAUUUACCUCGUUAAUAUCAGUGCUCACGCCAUUAAACGGCAACAAUAGCGAUUACGCUCUCGCUGCCUAGUACAAGGUACUAAUUUCAGCGACGCUUCCGGAAAAAGCCUUGAUUGACGGCUCGUUUCCCUUGAAGUGCAAAACAAUCAAAGUCAGUCCUGGUGCAGGUUCGCCUUCGGCCUGUAGCAGUACAAAGGAGGAUAAGGCCUAUGGUUGGAAGGUUUUUCGCCUGCCCGGGCUCGAAAACGAAAGGAAAAACUAAGCGUGUAGAAAACUUUUUUGCUACUUGUUUGGACGGCGGUUCGAUUCCGCCCGGUUCCACAA
rnacentral:tmRNA from 1 species